AAUGAGAAGGCUUGAAACAAACUAGCAAUAGACGGAUCCAUGUGCAUACCUUGUCCUUUAGAAGACUCCCCACCACAAACUUCUCCCAAAAAUCCUUCAAAAUUUUUAUUUUCGUUUUCCAUAAAAAUAAAGAUAAAAUCAACCGAAAUCCAAUACCUUCCACCUCAAGCUUUCACGUCGAGUUCACCACUUAUGUCGUAUUACGUGCUUUCCUGCUCGAGAACGCGCCGGGCGUCUGGCUGUAGAAGGUAGUAUGGAGAUUUGCCGAUAGUCAAGUAGUCUAUCAGUUUUUGACUGCUGGAAUAUAAACGACUGCAACAAUGUACCGUAAAUCUAUACGGAUGCUCUUCGACUGCUUGUCAAAGUCUUUUUUUUUGCCCCAGCCGAUAGGUCUCUAGACGUUAUAGAGAACCCCGAACAACCCAAACUGUUAAUCUUCAAUACCCCUUUGUACUUACGAUCUUGUAUCCACUGAUUGUCCUGUUAGAUUAACCCAAUAAAUUU
rnacentral:lncRNA from 1 species